rnacentral:rRNA from 1 species
UGGGGAAUAUUGGACAAUGGGGGCAACCCUGAUCCAGCAAUGCCGCGUGUGUGAAGAAGGUCUUCGGAUUGUAAAGCACUUUCGACGGGGACGAUGAUGACGGUACCCGUAGAAGAAGCCCCGGCUAACUUCGUGCCAGCAGCCGCGGUAAUACGAAGGGGGCUAGCGUUGCUCGGAAUGACUGGGCGUAAAGGGCGUGUAGGCGGUUUACACAGUCAGAUGUGAAAUCCCCGGGCUUAACCUGGGAGCUGCAUUUGAUACGUGUAGACUAGAGUGUGAGAGAGGGUUGUGGAAUUCCCAGUGUGGAGGUGAAAUUCGUAGAUAUUGGGAAGAACACCGGUGGCGAAGGCGGCAACCUGGCUCAUGACUGACGCUGAGGCGCGAAAGCGUGGGGAGCAAACAGGAUUAGAUACCCUGGUAGUCCACGCUGUAAACGAUGUGUGCUAGAUGUUGGGUAACUUUGUUAUUCAGUGUCGCAGUUAACGCGUUAAGCACACCGCCUGGGGGAGUACGGGCCGCAAGG